rnacentral:lncRNA from 1 species
GGUUAGGAUUCGGAAAGUUGAGAGAAGAUGAAUGAAAAAAAUUCCCUUACUUUCUUCUUCUACGUUAGAGAGUGAGGAGGAGAAUCUUUUUUUAUAUAUCAUAAAAAUGUGUUGUUGUUGUUGUCAUCUGUUUUGAGAGGAGGAAGUGAUUUUCUUCUUAUUAAAAAAAACUCAAAACAAUUUUGUUGCUGAACGUAGGAAGAAGAAGUGAGAAUGAUUUUUAUUUUAUUUUAAAAAAAAA